rnacentral:rRNA from 1 species
CCUACGGGAGGCAGCAGUAGGGAAUCUUCCACAAUGGGCGAAAGCCUGAUGGAGCAACGCCGCGUGGGUGAAGAAGGUCUUCGGAUUGUAAAACCCUGUUGUUAGAGAAGAAAGUGCGUGAGAGUAACUGUUCACGAUUCGACGGUAUCUAACAAGAAAGCCACGGCUAACUACGUGCCAGCAGCCGCGGUAAUACGUAGGUGGCAAGCGUUAUCCGGUUUUAUUGGGCGUAAAGGGAACGCAGGCGGUCUUUUAAGUCUGAUGUGAAAGCCUUCGGCUUAACCGGAGUAGUGCAUUGGAAACUGGGAGACUGGAGUGCAGAAGAGGAGUGUGGAACUCCAUGUGUAGCGGUGAAAUGCGUAGAUAUAUGGAAGAACACCAGUGGCGAAGGCGGCUCUCUGGUCUGUAACUGACGCUGAGGUUCGAAAGCGUGGGUAGCAAACAGGAUUAGAUACCCCUGUAGUC